CAGUCGCCGCGGUAAUACGAAGGGUGCAAGCGUUACUCGGAAUUACUGGGCGUAAAGCGUGCGUAGGUGGUGGUUUAAGUCCGUUGUGAAAGCCCUGGGCUCAACCUGGGAAUUGCAGUGGAUACUGGGUCACUAGAGUGUGGUAGAGGAUAGUGGAAUUUCCGGUGUAGCAGUGAAAUGCGUAGAGAUCGGAAGGAACAUCUGUGGCGAAGGCGACUAUCUGGUCCAUUACUGACGCUGAGGUGCGAAAGCGUGGGGAGCAAACAGGAUUAGAUACCCCUGUAGUCCCUGUCUCUUAUAC
rnacentral:rRNA from 1 species